ACACGGGGGGCGCAAGCGUUAUUCGGAAUUAUUGGGCGUAAAGGGCGCGUAGGCGGUCUUGUCGGUCAGAUGUGAAAGCCCAGGGCUCAACCCUGGACGUGCAUUUGAAACAGCAAGACUUGAGUACGGGAGAGGAAAGCGGAAUUCCUGGUGUAGAGGUGAAAUUCGUAGAUAUCAGGAGGAACACCGAUGGCGAAGGCAGCUUUCUGGACCGAUACUGACGCUGAGGCGCGAAGGCGUGGGUAGCGAACAGGAUUAGAAACCCUUGUAGUCC
rnacentral:rRNA from 1 species